rnacentral:lncRNA from 1 species
GAUUCUUUCACCAUGAGAUCAUAUCCAGUGCAUUCAGGGGUGAGACGGGGCCAGGGUUCUUUCAGGUGCAGCAGGCUUUGGUCUGUACCAGGGAUCGAAGCACGCCAGGAGUUACAGGGUGCUGCAGAGGAGCAAAUGAAAGGGCUACCGGCAGACACCUUUGCUCCCCAAAUCAGAUAGAAGAGACCUCCUACGACUAUUGGGGUGCUUCCAGCAUUGAGGACUCCUGCUUGGCAAG